AACGAACGCUGGCGGCAGGCCUAACACAUGCAAGUCGAACGCCCUAGCAAUAGGGAGUGGCGCACGGGUGCGUAACGCGUGGGAAUAUGCCCUUCACUGCGGAAUAACGUUUGGAAACGAACGCUAAUACCGCAUAAUGACUCCGGUCCAAAGAUUUAUCGGUGAAGGAUUAGCCCGCGUUAGAUUAGCUAGUUGGUGAGGUAAUGGCUCACCAAGGCGACAAUCUAUAGCUGGUCUGAGAGGAUGAUCAGCCACACUGGGACUGAGACACGGCCCAGACUCCUACGGGGAGGCAGCAGUGAGGAAUAUUGGACAAUGGGCGCAAGCCUGAUCCAGCCAUGCCGCGUGAGUGAAGAAGGCCUGGUGUAAGCUCUUCUAGAUGUGUAAGGAUAAUAGACGGUAGCGAUCAGAAGAAGACCCCGG
rnacentral:rRNA from 1 species